GGUCAGUGAUGUGAUGUAAAAGGUCUGAACUCGGGUCCCCCCGCAGCCUCUGGCUCCCAGCAGCCCCGGUUCUCUGCUCCCAUCAUGCUCUAGUGCUGCAGCGUGGGCGCCGUGCUGCUGACAGACAGGAAAUGACAUCACAGUGUGAGUCCGUACAGAGAGCGUACAGCCUCGGUGUGAUGUCAUCCAACAGAACCAAUCAGAAAGGAGCGUGAGGCUGAGGGGGCGUGGCCUGAGUGUUGAUCUCACUCUGUGACUGAGACC